AGGUGACUAUUUUGAAUUUCAGGUGCACGAAUUUUCUUGCACUUCACAUCCACAUUGUAUCUUGUUUAUGAGGGAAAGUUAAUGGUGAAGUGCAAAUAGAAAAAUUACAGCCUUAAAACCUUCUAUGGAUUUUGUUCUUCCUCUAGCAACUGAGUUUACUGAAGUUGCAAUUUGACUAAUUGCAUGCAGGUCAAAAUCUGCAAUGGGAAA
rnacentral:misc_RNA from 1 species